UCACAUCCGUGUGCCUGUAUGUGUGUGAACUUGUGUUGAUUUUGUCCGUGCGAGUAAGCGAGAUAGCAAAAGGGGGCCGCGGGGGCUGGCCACAGCCACAGAGUUUCGAUUUUCCAUCCAUAUAUCUACACUCGCAGCGGAAACAAGAGAGAGAGAGAGCGUGAGAGAGGAGCGCCCCGUCUGGUCUGGGCACAUUUUACCACACUGCGUCUUUGUCUGCCGUCGAGUCGGGAGCUCCGCGUCUGCAUACAUACAAUAUUUUAUUGCUGGUUUUGGUGGUAAAUUUGCAUUGUUAACGGCCGCGGCCAGACGUGCCCCGCUUCUUUAACACACACGUCUCUCAAACGAAUACCGAUCAUCAAGUGUUUCCCCUAUUGACUCUCGUAUAUAGCCACACGUAAAAACCAAUAAAUAGCGAUACUGAUACCGAAAGCAACUAAACCGAAAGUGUAUACUAAAUACAUGCCCGUAUGUACCACAUAAGACUGCCAUCUGCCCCUUGCGUUGCCGUGCCGUGCCGUGCCGUUGACACUUUUGUAUCUGGCCGUAUUCGUAUCUGUAUCUCAAACUCACUGACCAACUACUGCAAGCGCAAAUGCAAAUGUAAUCUGCAAAAUGCAAACUGCACACCUGAAUCUCAGCGCAAGUCUUAAACGUUUAAUCCUCGAACUGCCUACAAUACCAACCAACCUAUCAGCCAUCCUGAGCCAAUCAACCAACCAACCUAUCAACGGUCUACCGCAACUGGCAAACCAAACGGCUUUAGUUUGUAAGCUUAACUUAUUUUUUUUCUUUUUGUAAACCUGUUAAACAUACAAACAAUCAAAGACUGAAUACUGAAAAGAAGUUCAAAGUACGAUUAGACACGUUGUAAUUAUUUGUAAUUGUCCUUUGUUCUCUUAAUGGUUCCAAAUACGAUCGAUCUCUAACCCAACCAUUUAAGCUAUAUACUAUAUACGACAACACGACUUUGUCACACUGUUUGUUUUACUUUGCACAUGUUCGUUUUCUAUUUUACGCCUAGUAUUUACUAUAUUACCUACUUAUAGAGCACACACACACACACCCACACCAACAACAACACACGGCCCAUGUACGUUAAGUGUAACCCUCUUUAUCUGUCGCUCUCUUGAUCUGGAAUCUUUCGAUUGUACUAACUGCCCGCCGGGCGAUAAGCGAUAAGUUUGUAAUCAGUCAUCCGCCCCUCAAACUCGAUCCAUACAACAUAUCCACCAAACCCGAUGCCGAAAGCAGAAUAGAAACCGAAACCCAAAGCGCUACCCAAAGAAACAUAGCCACUAAUCUUGUUUUUGUUCUGUUGACACAUUCAUGUAAAACACAUAAAGAUAAAUAUGUAUUAGGUCAAUUGAUAAGUACUCGGUCUCACAGAAUAUUUUAACUUUCGGUCAAAGUUCAAAACUCCAUGAGCUUCGAAUGGCGCAAAUUUGGCCAAGUCGGGAACUUUUCAAUUGACCUGUUAUGUAUUUUUGCGAGGGCGGCUUAACGAUGGGUUAUAUCGUGUUUAACAACUUAAAAUGGAAACGCUGAAAGUGUAAAAUUGAUCGUUACCCACUUAUCAUGGCAGACGGAGUCGGCGGAGUUAGUUCACAUAUACACAUACAUACAUAUGUACUACCUAUGUACCCGUAACUGUUAACUUUAUAUAUAUAUCUAUAUAUAUCCUAUCUGUAUUUGUAUCGGCAGCUUUUCCACAUACCCCCUAUACAUGAAUUUAUAUACAUUUAUAUCGUACUUAUACCUAUAGUUGAAAAACUAACCACGCACGUAUCUCAUCUCAGUUCCAUAUAAUUGAAAACCUAUUAAAGCUACACUCUAUAAACAAA
rnacentral:sRNA from 1 species